AGUGAACGCUGGCGGUAGGCCUAACACAUGCAAGUCGAACGGCAGCACAGUAAGAGCUUGCUCUUACGGGUGGCGAGUGGCGGACGGGUGAGGAAUACAUCGGAAUCUACUUUUUCGUGGGGGAUAACGUAGGGAAACUUACGCUAAUACCGCAUACGACCUACGGGUGAAAGCAGGGGAUCUUCGGACCUUGCGCGAUUGAAUGAGCCGAUGUCGGAUUAGCUAGUCGGCGGGGUAAAGGCCCACCAAGGCGACGAUCCGUAGCUGGUCUGAGAGGAUGAGCAGCCACACUGGAACUGAGACACGUUCCAGACUCCUACGGGAGGCAGCAGUGGGGAAUAUUGGACAAUGGGCGCAAGCCUGAUCCAGCCAUACCGCGUGGGUGAAGAAGGCCUUCGGGUUGUAAAGCCCUUUUGUUGGGAAAGAAAAGCAGCAGGUUAAUACCCCGCUGUUCUGACGGUACCCAAAGAAUAAGCACCGGCUAACUUCGUG
rnacentral:rRNA from 1 species